rnacentral:rRNA from 1 species
AUUGAACGCUGGCGGCAGGCCUAACACAUGCAAGUCGAGCGGAGCGGCGGACGGGUGAGUAAUGCCUAGGAAUCUGCCUGGUAGUGGGGGAUACCGUCCGGAAACGGGCGCUAAUACCGCAUACUAUCAGAUGAGCCUCGGUCGGAUUAGCUAGUUGGUGGGGUAAAGGCCUACCAAGGCGACGAUCCGUAACUGGUCUGAGAGGAUGAUCAGUAACACUGGAACUGAGACACGGCCCAGACUCCUACGGGAGGCAGCAGUGGGGAAGAUUGGACAAUGGGCGAAAGCCUGAUCCAGCCAUGCCGCGUGAGUGAAGAAGGUUUGCGGAUUGUAAAGCACUGUAGGUUGGGAAGCGGUACCUAAAGAGUAAGCAACGGCUAACUUCGUGCCAGCCGCCGCGGUAAUUC